rnacentral:rRNA from 1 species
CCUACGGGAGGCUGCAGUGAGGAAUAUUGGUCAAUGGACGCAAGUCUGAACCAGCCAUGCCGCGUGCAGGAUGACGGCUCUAUGAGUUGUAAACUGCUUUUGUACGAGGGUAAACCCCGAUACGUGUAUCGGGUUGAAAGUAUCGUACGAAUCAGGAUCGGCUAACUCCGUGCCAGCAGCCGCGGUAAUACGGAGGAGCCGAGCGUUAUCCGGAUUGAUUGGGUUGAAAGGGUGCGUAGGCGGUUUGAUAAGUUAGAGGUGAAAUGUCGGGGCUCAGCCCCGAAACUGCCUCUAAUACUGUUGGACUGGAGAAUAGUUGCGGUAGGCGGAAUGUAUGGUGUAGCGGUGAAAUGCUUAGAGAUCAUACAGAACACCGAUUGCGAAGGCAGCUUACCAAACUAUAUCUGACGUUGAGGCACGAAAGCGUGGGUAGCAAACAGGAUUAGAUACCCUUGUAGUC